GACGAACCGAGCGAACGUUGUUCGGAAUCAUUGGGCGUAAAGGGCGCGUAGGCGGCCACGCAAGUCGGAUGUGAAAUCCCUUGGCUCAACCGAGGAACUGCAUCCGAAACUGCGAGGCUCGAGUCCUGGAGAGGGUAGUGGAAUUCCCAGUGUAGCGGUGAAAUGCGUAGAUACUGGGAGGAACACCGGUGGCGAAGGCGGCUACCUGGACAGGUACUGACGCUGAUGCGCGAAAGCCAGGGGAGCAAACAGG
rnacentral:rRNA from 1 species